GGGUCAAUGGCGUAGUUGGUUAUCGCAUCUGUCUUACAAUCGUGCACAGAAGGUCCUCAGUUCGAGCCUGGGUUGACUCA